rnacentral:sRNA from 1 species
GCCGAUUCUCGGCGAUCUGCUAAACAAUUCGCGCGCAGGUCCGGGUGGAACCGGGCCCAUUCUCUCUAGAGAGGAUGUCCCGGGCGC